AGAUCCCGUAUUUAAUGUGUAUACAUAUGUACAUGUACGUAUGUAUUUAUAUGUAUGUAUAUAUAAUUAGUUUGUUUUGACUGACCCACCUGGCCACUUAGAAGCCAACACAAAUAUUUUGAAUGAGAUUGCCAUCUCUUCUUGCGGUCUAUGACUUAAGACCACGUGUACUCACCUGAAUUAGUUGCUAUCUUCUUUCUCCUCAGUGCCUACAACUAGCUUAACAGCUGUGGUCAGCCGCCAACUUCAACCAAUAAGGGGCUUUGUAGUUUCCGUUUAGUAACCUAUAAAUAGGAGAUCAACUCCAUUGUUUUCGAACACAAGCUAGCAUGCACUGCAUGCUCUGGAGCUCAUAUAGUGUUUAUAUGUGUGUGUGUGUAUAUACACAUACAUAUGCUGUGCGUGUAUAUAUUUAUAUAUAUAUAGAGAGAGAGAGAGAGAGAAAGAGAAGGGAGUAAGAAACCAGAAGCUGAGGUGCUUCUUAAUCGGCGGUGUCAAAUCUGUAGCAGGAUAAAUAUGGGAGCUUAUCACAGUUGUGGUUUCUUGUGUUAAUAUCUCGGAGCAAUGCUUUGGAAUCCAGGUUUACGAACUAAACAAUCUAAGAGGUUAGACGGGAUGAGAUCGGAUUAAGUGUGAGGAUAGAAUUUUGUAUUUCUUUAUUUUGGCCUUGUAAAGAACUAUUGAGUUAUUUUAAAUAAGAAGAAUUUUAUUUUCCAACCCGUUUCAGUUUUACUUUAAUUAUUUAGUUUUUAGUUCGCGUUUCGGAUUCGGGUUCAAGUUUUUACUACCGACCCCGGGUCCGGGGCGUGACAAUGUCGUACAGGUGACUCCGAUUUAUAUGCUAGCAACGAUUGAUGAGAUAUUGAUUCAGCCGUACAGGCCAUGUUAGGUGACUCCGGCUAACAUGUUGAUGAGAUAUAUAUGUUUAUUGAGAUCUAUGUCAUGAUAUUCAUGUGGACUUUGUUAUGCCGUGUAUGGGAUUGAGAUAGACAUGUAUUCUAUUUUCUGGGAAAUUAUACAGGUGUUACGGCGAGGGGCUACUACCUUUGGUAAUUGAAAUUGGUUUGAAAAGUUUUGUUUCACUCACUCACAUUUUUC